rnacentral:rRNA from 1 species
UGCCAGGGUUAACCCGUGUGGGGAAGCCGUAGCGAAAGCGAGUCUGAAUAGGGCGAUUGAGUCGCGUGUCCUAGACCCGAAGCGGAGUGAUCUACCCAUGGCCAGGUUGAAGCGCGUGUAAGAACGCGUGGAGGACCGAACCCACUUCAGUUGAAAAUGGAGGGGAUGAGUUGUGGGUAGGGGUGAAAGGCCAAUCAAACUCCGUGAUAGCUGGUUCUCCCCGAAAUGCAUUUAGGUGCAGCGUCACGUGUUUCUUCCCGGAGGUAGAGCUACUGGAUGGACGAUGGGCCCUACAAGGCUACUGACUUCAGCCAAACUCCGAAUGCCGGGAAGUGAGAGCGUGGCAGUGAGACUGUGGGGGAUAAGCUUCAUAGUCGAGAGGGAAACAGCCCAGACCACCGGUUAAGGCCCCUAAGCGUGUGCUAAGUGGGAAAGGAUGUGGAGUUGCUGAGACAACCAGGAGGUUGGCUUAGAAGCAGCCACCCUUGAAAGAGUGCGUAAUAGCUCACUGGUCAAGUGAUUCCGCGCCGACAAUGUAGCGGGGCUCAAGUACACCGCCGAAACCGUGGCAUUCAGUUUUGCUGGAUGGGUAGGGGAGCGUCGUUCACGAGGUGAAGCCAGCGGGUAACUUCUGGUGGAUUGUGGACGAGUGAGAAUGCAGGCAUGAGUAGCGAAAGACGGGUGAGAAACCCGUCCGCCGGAUGACUAAGGGUUCCAGGGUCAAGCUAAUCUGCCCUGGGUAAGUCGGGACCUAAGGCGAGGCCGACAGGCGUAGUCGAUGGACAACGGGUUGAUAUUCCCGUACCAGUGAAGAACCGCCCAUGCUGAGCCGGUGAUACUAACCGCCCGAACCAUCCCGAACCUCGUCUUUGACGGGGUCGGUGAUGGGGAGCGCGGGACCUGAACCGGGGAGGCAAGCGCAUUAACAGGUGUGACGCAGGAAGGUAGCCGGGCCGGGCAAUGGAAAUGACCUGGUCUAAGGGUGUAGGGCUGCCGGUAGGUAAAUCCGCCGGCUGUAUGCCUGAGACCUGAUGGGCGCCCACAUGGUGGGUGAUCCGGUGAUCCUAUGCUGCCUAGAAAAGCAUCGGCGCGAGGUUCAAACUGCCCGUACCCUAAACCGACACAGGUGGUCAGGUAGAGAAUACUAAGGCGAUCGAGAGAAUCAUGGUUAAGGAAC